GCCCCAGCAGGGACGAGGAGCGGCUGGAGAAGGGUGUUUCUUUGACCCGUUUACAGGCUCGAAACGCCGGUCUCAGUGGCUAUUGAGUUACCCACCAAGUUACCCCGGUUAGAGCUGUUUGGGGUGGCUCACGUUAUUGCGGCAAACUUUGGAGAUGACGGCUGAGUCCUCCGGGCGAACAUGUCAAGCCGAUUGUAAAUGCUGUUAUUUCCACAUCCUUCAGGGACACCAGUCCCUACGAAGACCUUGGGCGAUUUUGAAGUGCGGGCACCUCGAUUCCCCGAAUCUGUAGUGUGGCUGGUAUCGGUGUUCCCCUGGUUUAACUAGCCUGUUUGAGAUCCUGGCAAAUGGGUGUUUCUUCCCAGAAAGGGAUUUUUCUCCAUGACUGCAGUUGAAUUGCAGAGUUGUAGAGACAUCCAGGUUCUUGUUAGUGUGGACGAACUAUCCAUGAAGAUCUUAAAUGCAGGAGUCUAUGAGAACACCAAUUAAUCAAUUGUCAAAUAUUUGAGUAUCUAUUGUGAGCAAGGCACUGUAUAACCAUUAUGUCAUGUAUUAAUCUAUUGGAAAAUAAUUUGACCUUGGUUGUAUAGUAUUUUGUUUAUUUUUACCUUAAAUUUUGUAACUCUAUUAUAAGUGUUUACAUACCAACUAUUUGAGGGCUGUAUGCAAGGUAUAGUUUUAUUGUACUUUGCUUCUUCUGUUACAAUAAAGUACAAGUACAGUAAAAUAAUCAUA
rnacentral:lncRNA from 1 species